rnacentral:rRNA from 1 species
AACGAACGCUGGCGGCAGGCCUAACACAUGCAAGUCGAACGCUGUAGCAAUACAGAGUGGCAGACGGGUGAGUAACGCGUGGGAACCUUCCCAAUGGUGCGGAAUAGCCCAGGGAAACUUGGGGUAAUACCGCAUAAGCCCUUAGGGGGAAAGAUUUAUCGCCAUUGGAUGGGCCCGCGUCGGAUUAGCUAGUUGGUGAGGUAAUGGCUCACCAAGGCAACGAUCCGUAGCUGGUUUGAGAGAAUGACCAGCCACACUGGGACUGAGACACGGCCCAGACUCCUACGGGAGGCAGCAGUGGGGAAUCUUGGACAAUGGGCGCAAGCCUGAUCCAGCCAUGCCGCGUGAGUGACGAAGGCCUUAGGGUUGUAAAGCUCUUUUGCCGGGGACGAUGAUGACGGUACCCGGAGGAUAAGUCCCGGCUAACUUCGUGCCAGCAGCCGCCGUAA